rnacentral:rRNA from 1 species
UACGAAGGGGGCUAGCGUUGUUCGGAAUUACUGGGCGUAAAGCGUGCGCAGGCGGUAAGUUAAGUCUGAUGUGAAAGCCCCGGGCUCAACCUGGGAAUGGCAUUGGAAACUGGCUUGCUGGAGUGUGGCAGAGGGGGGUGGAAUUCCGCGUGUAGCAGUGAAAUGCGUAGAGAUGCGGAGGAACACCGAUGGCGAAGGCAGCCCCCUGGGCCAACACUGACGCUCAGGCACGAAAGCGUGGGGAGCAAACAGG